rnacentral:rRNA from 1 species
UGGGGAAUAUUGCACAAUGGGGGAAACCCUGAUGCAGCGACGCCGCGUGAACGAAGAAGGUAUUCGUAUCGUAAAGUUCUGUCCUAUGGGAAGAUAAUGACAGUACCAUAGAAGAAAGCUCCGGCUAAAUACGUGCCAGCAGCCGCGGUAAUACGUAGGGAGCGAGCGUUGUCCGGAAUUAGUGGGCGUAAGGGUACGCAGGCGGUUUAAUAAGUGGAAUGUUAAAGAUCGGGGCUCAACCCCGCAAAGCAUUGGAAACUGAUAACCUUGAGUAGUGGAGAAGAAAGUGGAAUUCCUAGUGUCGUGGUGAAAUACGUAGUUAUUAGGAGGAAUACCAGUAGCGAAGGCGACUUUCUGGACACCAACUGACGCUGAGGUACGAAAGCGUGGGGAGCAAACAGG